GAGUUUACGGGAAGCGCAGCCUCGGCGGGGCCCGGCCGGCGGCGGGGAGGUCGCGGGGCCGGGAGGCGCGAGAAAAAGAAAAACAUCCAUUCAUGAGAGUUCAGGGAUACGUGAAAAUGAAGCAAAUGAGGAAAGACCCAUUCACAUUCCUCCAAAAGAUCUGUGGCUCACUGGAAUCAUGUUACUGGCUCCUGGUAGUCCCUGACUUUACCUGUUUGUUCCAGGAACUUGCUUUAUGGCCAUUUGUUCUAAUGAUCAGUUUGGACAACCAACCUUUAUUCCUCCACCUCAGACAAUAUUCAACAUCCUGUAAUCAUCAUAGCGACAAACUGUUAAAACAACAACAGCAGGCUGGGCGCAACGGCUCUCACCUGUAAUCCCAGCACUUUGGGAGGCCGAAGCGGGCGGAUCACGAGGUCAGGAGAUCGAGAUCAUCCUGGCUCACACAAGUGAAACCCUGUCUCUACUAAAAA
rnacentral:lncRNA from 1 species